rnacentral:rRNA from 1 species
UACGUAGGGUGCGAGCGUUAAUCGGAAUUACUGGGCGUAAAGCGUGCGCAGGCGGUAAGUUAAGUCUGAUGUGAAAGCCCCGGGCUCAACCUGGGAAUGGCAUUGGAAACUGGCUUGCUGGAGUGUGGCAGAGGGGGGUGGAAUUCCGCGUGUAGCAGUGAAAUGCGUAGAGAUGCGGAGGAACACCGAUGGCGAAGGCAGCCCCCUGGGCCAACACUGACGCUCAGGCACGAAAGCGUGGGGGGCAAACAGG